GGCACUAUCAAUUUGGAGACAUGUCUCAGAAUUUUUCUCAUAUUGCCUAAGCCUGAGAAUUUUAAAGGAGCUUACCCAAAGUCAUAUACCCUGGAAAUAUAGAUUUAGAGACUCUAGCUUAUAUAGAAGAUGAGAUUAGAAGCAGUCUUGGAGAGGGAAUAUUUGAAGGGAAAUUGGCUGAGAAUUCUUCUGAACUAAGAGAGAUGAUAUAUGAAUCUUUAGAUAGUGUAUUUCAAGUUUCAAGUACCUUAAAUAAAAUGAAUCCACCUUAGAGUGAACUUGCAGAGUAUCAAGGGUAAUAAGAAAAAUCUCAAAGGCAAGCUAAUCCCAAAGAAAGACUGUCUACCAAGAAAAUUAUAUUUCCAGUAGACUUCCAUCUGUAAUCAUCAAUUUUAUUUUUUUAAUUUUUUUUAAUCAUCAAUUUUAGAGGACAAUGAAGUAAGCACCUUCAAAGUCCUGAGGGAAAAUAACUGAAAACCUACAAUUCUACUCUCAGCUAAAUGGCUAUUCAAAGGCCAAGGAUGUUAAGAAGUGGAUAGCCCUUGCAUAUGCACUUUUUCUGUCUUGAUGGAUACAACUGACAGAGUCAAGAGGAAGGCAGGGCCCCGAGAUAAAAGAAGCCUGUGUCUCUGAAUUGCCUCAAAAA